AGUUAGGCCACAGACUGGAGCCCUGGGAAGAUUGGCGAGUCGAGGUCCAGGUAUCAGUGUAAAGUCUGGAGUGGCUGGUAUUCUUGGAGCCCGUGGCUAUGGGGCAGGCAAGCCAGCUGGCCGUUAUCUUGGAGGGGCAGCAUACAGACCCACUUCAAUCAG
ensembl:lncRNA